rfam:Streptococcus thermophilus LMG 18311, complete genome.
AUUAAUGAGAGUUUGAUCCUGGCUCAGGACGAACGCUGGCGGCGUGCCUAAUACAUGCAAGUAGAACGCUGAAGAGAGGAGCUUGCUCUUCUUGGAUGAGUUGCGAACGGGUGAGUAACGCGUAGGUAACCUGCCUUGUAGCGGGGGAUAACUAUUGGAAACGAUAGCUAAUACCGCAUAACAAUGGAUGACACAUGUCAUUUAUUUGAAAGGGGCAAUUGCUCCACUACAAGAUGGACCUGCGUUGUAUUAGCUAGUAGGUGAGGUAAUGGCUCACCUAGGCGACGAUACAUAGCCGACCUGAGAGGGUGAUCGGCCACACUGGGACUGAGACACGGCCCAGACUCCUACGGGAGGCAGCAGUAGGGAAUCUUCGGCAAUGGGGGCAACCCUGACCGAGCAACGCCGCGUGAGUGAAGAAGGUUUUCGGAUCGUAAAGCUCUGUUGUAAGUCAAGAACGGGUGUGAGAGUGGAAAGUUCACACUGUGACGGUAGCUUACCAGAAAGGGACGGCUAACUACGUGCCAGCAGCCGCGGUAAUACGUAGGUCCCGAGCGUUGUCCGGAUUUAUUGGGCGUAAAGCGAGCGCAGGCGGUUUGAUAAGUCUGAAGUUAAAGGCUGUGGCUCAACCAUAGUUCGCUUUGGAAACUGUCAAACUUGAGUGCAGAAGGGGAGAGUGGAAUUCCAUGUGUAGCGGUGAAAUGCGUAGAUAUAUGGAGGAACACCGGUGGCGAAAGCGGCUCUCUGGUCUGUAACUGACGCUGAGGCUCGAAAGCGUGGGGAGCGAACAGGAUUAGAUACCCUGGUAGUCCACGCCGUAAACGAUGAGUGCUAGGUGUUGGAUCCUUUCCGGGAUUCAGUGCCGCAGCUAACGCAUUAAGCACUCCGCCUGGGGAGUACGACCGCAAGGUUGAAACUCAAAGGAAUUGACGGGGGCCCGCACAAGCGGUGGAGCAUGUGGUUUAAUUCGAAGCAACGCGAAGAACCUUACCAGGUCUUGACAUCCCGAUGCUAUUUCUAGAGAUAGAAAGUUACUUCGGUACAUCGGUGACAGGUGGUGCAUGGUUGUCGUCAGCUCGUGUCGUGAGAUGUUGGGUUAAGUCCCGCAACGAGCGCAACCCCUAUUGUUAGUUGCCAUCAUUCAGUUGGGCACUCUAGCGAGACUGCCGGUAAUAAACCGGAGGAAGGUGGGGAUGACGUCAAAUCAUCAUGCCCCUUAUGACCUGGGCUACACACGUGCUACAAUGGUUGGUACAACGAGUUGCGAGUCGGUGACGGCGAGCUAAUCUCUUAAAGCCAAUCUCAGUUCGGAUUGUAGGCUGCAACUCGCCUACAUGAAGUCGGAAUCGCUAGUAAUCGCGGAUCAGCACGCCGCGGUGAAUACGUUCCCGGGCCUUGUACACACCGCCCGUCACACCACGAGAGUUUGUAACACCCGAAGUCGGUGAGGUAACCUUUUGGAGCCAGCCGCCUAAGGUGGGACAGAUGAUUGGGGUGAAGUCGUAACAAGGUAGCCGUAUCGGAAGGUGCGGCUGGAUCACCUCCUUU